AAGGCUUUAUUUACGCGAUAUUCAUUGGCGUAAAACGAAUCCCGUGCACAAUAUUAGUUAACAAGUAUAACUGAGUAACAGAGUGUAUAGUGCACAGCCCACCGAUUUACUUGCUAACGCACAGUCCAAACCGCUGUAUCUAGAAACGUGAAAUUUGGAUGGUAUACAUGUUUUAUGACGUAGGCUUGGGAACAUACAUAUCUCACGAAUUGCUGGGAUUAGUCACGUGAAAUUCGACACGCGGACUACUCAUUGAAAGUAAACAAACACGUGUUCGAGCGUUUUUGGAAAUUCAAUUCCUAACGGGUGUUCUAACAGAGGGUAACACAGAAAUUCGAGUAUCAUAUAGUUAGUAUGUUAUAGUAUAUAGCAGCUAGUUGGAGCAAAUAAAGAAGCGAUGAUUGA
rnacentral:misc_RNA from 1 species